rfam:Schistosoma mattheei strain Denwood, Zambia genome assembly, scaffold: SMTD_scaffold0011700
AUCCAUCUGAUGAGUCUUAAAUUGGACGAAACGCGUGACUUGGAU